rnacentral:tRNA from 1 species
GCUGGGGUGACGGAAUUGGUAAACGUACUAGCUUUAGGAGCUAGCGAUCGUAAGAUCAUAGGAGUUCGAAUCUCCUCCCCAGCA